rnacentral:tRNA from 1 species
AGCCUUGCAGUAGAUGUCUACAUUGGAUUGCAAAUCCGAAACCGGAGGUUUACGCCUCCCGGGGCUU